AACGAACGCUGGCGGCGCGCCUAAUACAUGCAAGUCGAGCGAGAAGACGUAGCAAUACGUUUGUAAAGCGGCGAACGGGUGAGGAAUACAUGGGUAACCUACCCUCGAGUGGGGAAUAACUAGCCGAAAGGUUAGCUAAUACCGCGUACGCUCCUUGGACUUCGGUUCAGGGAGGAAAGCGAUACCGUGGGUAUCGCGCUCUUGGAUGGGCUCAUGUCCUAUCAGCUUGUUGGUGAGGAACGGCUCACCAAGGCUUCGACGGGUAGCUGGUCUGAGAGGGCGAUCAGCCACACUGGCACUGCGACACGGGCCAGACUCCUACGGGAGGCAGCAGUAAGGAAUAUUGCGCAAUGGGCGAAAGCCUGACGCAGCGA
rnacentral:rRNA from 1 species